UACGUAGGGUGCAAGCGUUUGUCCGGAAUUAUUGGGCGUAAAGAGCUCGUAGGCGGCUUGUCGCGUUGAAUGUGAAAUCUCAGGGCUCAACUCUGACAUUGCAUUCGAUACGGGCAGGCUAGAGUUCGGUAGGGGAGACUGGAAUUCCUGGUGUAGCGGUGAAAUGCGCAGAUAUCAGGAGGAACACCGGUGGCGAAGGCGGGUCUCUGGGCCGAUACUGACGCUGAGGAGCGAAAGCGUGGGGAGCGAACAGG
rnacentral:rRNA from 1 species